ACAAUGUACAACUUCUUAGAAGUGUACAACACUCAUCUGCGAGAUGCAGGGACACAGGACUCUCUCCAGAUGUCUUACCGCAAAUUGAGGGAUGCAGUCAUAGCCUUUUGCAGCUUCUGUCUGCAGACUUUAGCUGGGGAUUCAAAUGUCCCAUCUGCCAAGAUAACUUCAAUGAGGUAGGUUGUUAUGGAUGCCACCUCUUUGGGGUAUCAGCAGCGGUAUGGCCUCAAAGAAAGGCUUGUUCCUGGCCAAACUGUAAUGAACAGUGGAAGAUAAGUCUAUGAUUUUCUUGUUUUAAUCAUUGUGUGUCUCAGUGUGUGUGCACGCCAAUGUUACCCCUAAUUUUUAAAUUUAAAUGAUUAAGGCCUUAUGUUAUUAUGACCUUUCUAAAUUUGUUUCUCCUUCAUUCAAUUUACCAGUCACAGAACGAGAACUUUGAUUCCUGAGCCAGACCUCCGCAAGCUGCUGCAGCGCUACAGUGCAGACGGGCUCCUCCCUGGAGAACACAGGGAAAUGAUGUCACAGAGUGCCAAAAGCGCCCCAUUCCUCCUGCCCCUUUUGCAGAAGCUGGCCCUGACUUCACCCACACAUGCAAGUGAGCCCUACCGCCCUCUCUUAACACAAGUCAGCAAGAACUCCCCUGCCUGUGCUCUUCUACAUCCCAGUAAAGAACUCGGGGAGUUGAUGUCAGAGAUGGAGGGAUUGAAGUACUGCCAGAUCGAGCAGCAACCAGCACUUUUAGGGAAACUUGCCAAGGAAUGCCCUUUGUUUUUUAGCUUGGUUGGGAUGGAAGGGACUUUUCCUCAGGAGGUGGUACCCAUCUUUCAGUGCCUCUAUAAAAAGGCACUGGAAACAGUGUCCACACCUCCGGUCUCGACACCCCUAACUUCCCCAGAUGAUCCUGGGCAUUACUUCCCCAAUCUGCCUCCUGUGAGAGACAGAGGCUUGUACACUACAGACAAGUGUAAAAAGGAGGCCAGUGACUGUAGGAAGACAGCAGGCAGACACCCUAACCUGAUCCCUGGCAUAUUCACCCUGUUCUGCACACAUGGUGUUUGUCUUGGGUUUUCAAUAAUGGAGCAAGUGGAGUCGGUGAACGUGCCGUUUACCAUACUCCGGACACGUUUUUUUCGACAAUGCCCCAAGACAGUCAUAUAUGACAACGCCUGUCAGCUGCAAACUUACUGCUUGCGGAGGGACCCAGGUUUUUUUUGAGAGACUUGGUUUCUUGUGGAUCGUUUGCACUGGAGCAACCACUCAGGGUGUAACAUUGGAUACAAUUUGGACAGCUAUCCUCAGUUCCAGAAAACAAAUUCUCAGGUGGCAGAGCAGAAUAACUCGCUCUUGAAGAAGAUGAAAGGACAACUCUCCUACAUGAACAGGGAGAACUUCAUCAGGCAUCUGAUGCCCCUCCUGUGGCACAGAUCAUGCAAAGUCAUAACAAAACUUUGAGGUAUGUAAUGACUUGGAGCAAUACACCCAAGACCAUCAACCAAAGGAUAUCGGCAGCCAACUCAACCACAAUAUGUCAAAAGUCAUUUUUCCAUCUGUAUUGUUUAUUUUCCCAUUUUAAGUGUUUGUUUAAUCAACUUGUUUCAUUGGCCCUGUUACAUAAACAAAUUAA